UGUGCAACAUCUCAUUUUUUUUCCUCUGGAAAUGAUAUCCAGCAUAUAUAGUUAGGUAGAUAGAUUCUCAUGGUGAAAGGUACAUUGUGAAGCUUAUGCCACUACAUGCUCAAUACUGCCUGUUAUUUUGCACUAUUCUUAAUUAGAGUAUUUGUUACUAUGAAGAAAGAAAAAAGAUGCUGUAGAAAAUGACAUGAUUGCAGUCAAGAAUUAGUAGUCAGGAGUCAUCUGCAAUUAGAACUAACUGGCUACUGCACUGCUUUUAGAAGAUGUCCCUUUUUGUUCAUGAUAGAUUUUAAUCUUUUUGGAAACCUGGUGGUGUUUGUACUAUUGACCAGCAUUGCUGACGUGUAUGCACUUUCACACAUUGCUGAGUUGUAUGCAAUUUCACCCUUUAGGCCUAACUAAGGCAAGAAGAGAAGUUGUGCACUAAACUUUGCAGUGAGAUAAAAUUGCAGCUGAACAAGUAUGGGCAUGCCAACCAUUAUAGUGGGACACGCAUGCAAGGCGCAACUGGAUUGCCAAAACUGACUUAAACAGACUUAUAGCCCUAGGUAAAAUGACUUUUUUUCGCUCUCCUCCGUCUCUUCCUCCUCCCCUCCCUCUUCCUCUCCAAUCUCUAGUAGACUCUUCACACAGUACACGCAUAUGCACUGCACACCAAAACUACCUCUAAUUCUCAGCCUCUCAUCUCUUCGAUUCAAUCUGACCCCCUGUAAUCCCAAAUUAAGCCGCACAGUACAGUUACCAAUUCCCUUCGGCUCCGUUCCGCGAGCAAACCCUCACAAAUUUGCUGCUUCUGAUUGAUCGCGUGGUCGGGUAGGGUUUGGGUUGUGGCGUCGGGUUGGGCUGGUGUUGUCGUGAGGAUUGGUUCGGGUUUUUCUGAGUUUGGUGUACUCCGCAUGCGGCGGACUGGACGAGGCGGGACGGCUGGUCAGGCUUGGACCUAUGGGCAGCACCGGUGAGCCCUAUCGGAAGCGGCGUCUCUCUGACUCCUUUGUAUCUCCCGCCAAGCGCCCAGCGCUUCCGCCUUCCUCCGGCGACAAGAAGCUUGAUUUCGCUGUACUUAAAUACAGAAACCAAAAGCUUUCAGAACAGCUAGCAGUCCAUAAGUUUGAGUACCAUGCCCUUGAGGGUAAAUUUGAUGAUCUCAAGCAGAAACAGAAGGCUCACCACGAGACCCAAGAUCUAGCUAACAAGUCUUGGGAGCAUCUUGUGAGAGAUUUGAAGGCUAUUUCUGCUUGCAAAAGUGGAUUUCAAAAUCCUUCCUGCAGUGCAGGUCCUAGCAAUGUGUCUACAGAUGGCGCAUGCAUCCCAAAAGACAAGGACUUCCUUAGCAGACUUGUCGAGACAGGUGCCACAGAAAGUUCAGGUUGCCAUUUGGAAAACCAUGUACACUCGUCAAGUACUGAUGUGCUGCAGAAUAUAUUGUUCUCAUCAAAUGCUUCAUGGCAUGCAAAUAAGAAGUCGCUGUUAGAUCUCUUUGCUGCAUUACCUGAAAAUGAGCGUAGUAGGGAACUGCGAACUACUGGUACUGAGUUGUCACUACAGCUUAAUGAUGCCAUACAAGAACUUAGUGAUCUCCACUUGAAGCACAGGCGGUUAACAGAGAAGCACCACGAAGAGAGAUAUUUAAACACUCGAAGCAAAGCCGAACAGAAACGCCUUAAAGAGGAGCUGGCAAGUGCUGUUGCUGAGUUGGAAGAAAGCAACCACAAAUUGGCAGUCCUCAAAGCACAGGGAGACCCUACACAUGGAACUCCAAUCUUAUUUCCAACUUUAGGAAAUAAAAGCUUGCCUGAGGAUAAUGUCAGAGACAAACAAAAGGAAUUGCAGGAUCUAGAGGCAUGUCACAAGGAGUUUACGGAUCUGAUUUCACAACGUUUGGUGGAAAUAAGGAGACUUCAUGAAGAUAGAAUUGAAAUUUUGAACAAGUUGUCUACCUUCCAGAACACUUUGAUGGAUUUUAAGAGCAUUUCUUCUUCAAAAGCUUUCCAAGUUCUGAAGGAUCAACUCCAAAAGUCACAAGCAGAGUUGGACCACUGCCGAACGCUAUUAGAGAAAUUACAGGUUAAUAAGGAUAAAUUGAUAUGGCAAGAAAGGGAAGUUAAUGUAAAAGUUGAUCUGUCUGGAAUUCCUCAUAGGGUAUCUCUGAAUUGUGAGUCAAGCAUUGCAGUUUUAAAACAGAAUCGGGAGAAAGUAGUUGAUGAAAAGAAUAUGCUUGCGCUGAAACUUGAAAAAUCUUCGAGAGAACCUGGUCGGAACCAAAUCAUAUCAGAAUUUAAAGCGCUGGUGUCAUCACUGCCAGGAGAAAUGGGUGCUAUGCAAACUGAAUUAUCCAAGUGCAAGGAUGAUGCUUCAGAAUUGCAUUCUUUGCGAGCCGAAGUUCACUCUGUUUCUGAUAUUCUGGCUAGAAAGGAGCACACUAUCAACGAAUCAUUAUGUAGGUCUGCUGAUGCUGGAUCUGAGACAAGGGAUCUACGAUCCAGGGUUUGUGAACUAAGGCAAAUGAAUUGCGAGUUGAAGCUCUUUGUGGAAAUGUAUAAACGCGAUUCUACUGAUUCAAGAGAUUUGCUGGAGUCCAAAGAUAGAGAAUAUUGUGAAUGGGCUCAUGUCCAUAGCCUCAAAUCUUCUCUUGAUGAGAGUAGGCUAGAACAGCGUGUUAAGGCAGCCAUUGAAGCUGAAGCAAUGUCUCAGCAGAGACUAGCAAGUGGUGAAUCUGAGAUUGCUGAAUUAAGGGGGAAGAUGGAGAGUGCCAGAAGGGAUAUUGGUAGUUUAUCUGAAUUAUUGAAAUCAAAACAUGAAGAAGGUGAAGCGUACCUGUCAGAGAUUGAGAGUAUUGGGCAAGCAUAUGAAGAUAUACAAACACAAAAUCAACAAUUGCUACAGCAAAUUAUCGAGAGAGAUGACCACAAUACAAAGGACAUUGCCUGCCUCUCCAUCUGUGUAGCCUACCCUUCUCCAUGCCGCUUCCUUCUGAUCUGCAGCAGCUGUAAGGGAGAAGACGCGCUAAGAUGGCAUCCAAAGCAUUCCCAUACUGCUUGGAGAGGAAGACAGACAAGAAAGAGAAGGGGAUAGAGGAGGGAGGAAGAUGGGAGAAAAGAGGAGAUGCAAACGAUAUAUAUACUUUGAGCCAAUAACCAGUGGCACCCAGACAGUUCCAGACCACUUCGGAAGUGGGUUUUGAUCCAGACUGAGAUAAAUCUAGGUGGCUGGAGAAAUAGAAGGCAAUAUGAGGGGGUUGACUGAGAGUCUGAGACAAGGCCGUGAGUCCAAUACAAUUUGCUAUUUUCUAUAUCUACUUCUAUGGAACUGAUCCUUCCUGUGCCAAUCGUCUUUUAUGGAAGUAACAUGCCAAUGCUGCCACUGUGGGAUUAGUGCUGAUCUCUUGUUGAUGUGACAAACUGGUAUGGUAAUAGAUGGAUAACACAAGCAAAGGUCAAUGAUGACUCUUGAUUUGGUCGUGCAGGGAGCAGAAACUGGCAUACUUUGCGCAAAAGCACAAGAAUCUGUUCCAUUUUCUUUGGCAACAUUAUCUUCCAUGUCAUUUUGUUGCCAGCUAGUCAGUUGUACUAUUCUGCAACAUAAUAUUUUAUCAUUUUAUUUCUACUGACUGGUCCAAGCAUCGUUCUUAACACCUACUGGCAUGAUGGUCUGUCUAAAUGGUGAACACAUGCUCAAGUUGGAUGGAGCAAUAUCUUUAAAAUAAGUAUAAUGUUUUUGUUGUGGUCAGUCUGCCUACAUUCCCAUCUUCUGUUCAGCAACAAAUGACAGCUACGGUUAUACAGCAGAGAGAAGAUCUUUAUGGAAGGUGUUAAGGUGAAACAUGCACAGGAUAAUUUGCAUUUAGAGGUAUUCAACCUGAGCAGGAAUUUACGGCAGGCAAAGAGCUUGAUGGAUCUCUACAAAGAUAAAGUUGCCCAGUUAGACGACAAGUUAAAAGUUUGGUCAGAGCAGAUAGGGAGACUUUCAGAGGAUGGACGGCGACAUUCUGUAUCUUCAGGCAAUUCUCAACGAAAGCUGGUGGAUGUACAGGGAGAGGCUCAACAAUUGAGA